rnacentral:rRNA from 1 species
UCUGGCGGCAGUAGCGCGGUGGUCCCACCUGACCCCAUGCCGAACUCAGAAGUGAAACGCCGUAGCGCCGAUGGUAGUGUGGGGUCUCCCCAUGCGAGAGUAG